rnacentral:misc_RNA from 1 species
AUUAUGCAGUUCACUUUCGUAUUUAACGGACACAGGUGCAAAAAUUGCAUAAAAAUUCAACAAUGGAAAUUCGUGUACAAAGGAUACAUUUUUUCCGUUCUGAUGCUGAUUAUAAUUCCACCAAUCAUCAAUUGCGUGACAUGUUGUUCCAAAACAUGUGACACUUUAGGAAAACUUUUUCCAUUCAUAAAAAGUUUAUCCCUUGUGUUAACAGUGAUUCUUCUUUACUGUGGAAUUCGGAGUAAAGGCUUUAGGGCGCGAUGAUUUCAAAAUGUGAACAAACAAUAUGGAACACUCAAAUGCCAAAAGACCACAUCUGCUUUUAAAAUUUAAGAGGCUUCUGAUUUUCAUUAUCGAUAUGGUCUUGUCUGUCAUUUAUUAAUGAUGAUUUUCAAAAAUUAGUUUUUCGAAAACUAAAGCAGUGUCCAACAAAAUGGAAAACAAGCCUUAAGUUUAAUACGGUUCACAGCUGGUGUCGGUGAUAUAGACCGAUGAAAGCUUUAACUGGCACUUGCUUGGUAACUGUCGAUCUUUCUUGGGUUGGUUAAAACACGUUUAGGCGAAGUGACAACGAAUUACCUAUUCUUACAGUGGAAAGCAUGCAAAGAAAGAACCGACAAUGGAUAACGUUGAAAAAAAUAUACACGUCUAUAUGGUUGCCUAAAUCAUAUCACCGUAUGUAUAUAAACUUAAUGUGCGUACAAUCUUACAAGUGUACUAAUGAUUUUAAAUAUUUUUCAUCCCAUGUGUCAACAAGCACCCACGUGUAAAAAAUCAAAACUUGACAAUGUAUAAUAGUAUAUGUAAAAUCGUGUCAUCCUUAUUGAAUUUUAUUUUUGAAAUGCCAGUGUACAUAGAAUUAAGUCUUUCAAUUACAUUGUACAUUGUUUGUGUGUAUAAACUUAUCACAUUACAGUAUUCAUGUGUGUAUUUUAAAUUUAUGUAUAUUUGUGUAUUUCAAAAUAUUUUCUUAGGCUUGUAAACAAGUGCAAUUUUUCUUUUUAUAUUCAAGAUUAUCUUAAACAUCUCUUGAAAAUUUUACAGUAUAUACUGGAUGUUCUUACUCCUCCCCAUAAAUCAAAAUUGUUAUUCAGAGUGGAAUGUACAAAUAUAUAAAGAAGAUGGGGGGAUAAGAUUGCGAAAAUGCCUAUUCGGUUUAGUCGUAAAAUGCAAUUUAAAAUUUAAUUUUUUCAUAUUAAAUCUGUUUGAUAUACUUUUAAUACAAUUUUGCAAAAGCACAAUUUCUAACUAUAUUUUAACAAACGAUAUAAAAAAAAUAUUGCAUGCCUUAAAUCCUGGUGGUAUCGAACCCACAACAUUAGCAUCCUAGUUAUAUAAGGUUAAUUAAUGCCUGGUGCUUUAACCACUGAUCCAUUUCAGUCUCAAGAAAUUCCAAUGUUUAAAUGUUAUAUAUGACUUUGGUUACGAAUUUACGAAGGUAUUAUUCUUCUAAAAUGUUCAAUUUUUGGGAUACAAAAUGAUAUUUUUAAUAUAUAGUGGGACAUCUCUGCACGUUUUUGUUGAUUGAAAUCGCUUUGUCUUCCAUUAGACCUUAUUUAGACUAUGACAAAAAUAUGGAGCACAGACUCACUCUAUAAAAGAAUCAAUUCGCUUAUUACAGUUUAAGUCAACAUAUUCCAAACAUUAAACUUUUUUAAGGGUUACAAAUCGAUGAUUUGUUCAAUAUAUAUUGUUUUGAAUGAUUGUUUUAAAAAAUGAUCAUAUUUGUUGAUAUUUUAGUUUUCAGUGUCUUAUCCGUCCUUAGAUAGGCAUUUUACACGCCUUAUCCACCCAUCUUCUUUACCAAGAUUUUUUACAAAAUAUGAAUCAUACAUUAUUUUGAUGUUUUGUUAUAGAAUAUAUUAUUACAUAUGUUAAUCGAAUUUUGUUAACAUUUUUUUUAUCUCUUUGGUAAAAAUAUUUUGUUUUCAUCAAAUUAAUAAAAACAAAUUAAUG